rnacentral:rRNA from 1 species
UAAGCAUAUCAAUAAGCGGAGGAAAAGAAACCAACAGGGAUUGCCCUAGUAACGGCGAGUGAAGCGGCAACAGCUCAAAUUUGAAAUCUGGCUCUUUUAGGGUCCGAGUUGUAAUUUGCAGAGGGCGCUUUGGCGUUGGCAGCGGUCCAAGUUCUUUGGAACAGGACGUCACAGAGGGUGAGAAUCCCGUACGUGGUCGCUAUCCUUCGCCGUGUAAAGCCCCUUCGACGAGUCGAGUUGUUUGGGAAUGCAGCUCUAAAUGGGAGGUAAAUUUCUUCUAAAGCUAAAUACUGGCCAGAGACCGAUAGCGCACAAGUAGAGUGAUCGAAAGAUGAAAAGCACUUUGGAAAGAGAGUCAAAUAGCACGUGAAAUUGUUGAAAGGGAAGCGCUUGCAGCCAGACUUGCCUGUAGUUGCUUAUCCGGACUUUUGUCCGGUGCACUCUUCUGCGGGCAGGCCAGCAUCAGUUUGGGCAGUUGGAUAAAGGUCUCUGUCAUGUACCUCUCUUCGGGGAGGCCUUAUAGGGGAGACGACAUGCAACUAGCCUGGACUGAGGUCCGCGCAUCUGCUAGGAUGCUGGCGUAAUGGCUGUAAGCGGCCCGUCUUGAAACACGGACCAAGGAGUCUAACAUCUAUGCGAGUGUUUGGGUGUCAAGCCCAGACGCGUAAUGAAAGUGAACGGAGGUGGGAACCCUUUGGGUGCACCAUCGACCGAUCCUGAUGUUUUCGGAAGGAUUUGAGUAAGAGCAUGGCUGUUGGGACCCGAAAGAUGGUGAACUAUGCUUGAAUAGGGUGAAGCCAGAGGAAACUCUGGUGGAGGCUCGCAGCGGUUCUGACGUGCAAAUCGAUCGUCAAAUUUGGGCAUAGGGGCGAAAGACUAAUCGAACUAUCUAGUAGCUGGUUCCUGCCAA